AGCAGUGUGGUUUAGUGGAUAGAACAUAGGGCUGGAAGUCAGAAUGACCUGGGUUCUAAUCCCGGCUCCGCCA
rfam:Ornithorhynchus anatinus chromosome 2, whole genome shotgun sequence.